UACGGAGGGAGCUAGCGUUGUUCGGAAUUACUGGGCGUAAAGCGCGCGUAGGCGGCUUUGUAAGUUAGAGGUGAAAGCCCGGGGCUCAACCCCGGAACUGCCUUUAAAACUGCAUCGCUUGAAUCCGGGAGAGGUGAGUGGAAUUCCGAGUGUAGAGGUGAAAUUCGUAGAUAUUCGCAAGAACACCAGUGGCGAAGGCGGCUCACUGGUCCGGUACUGACGCUGAGGUGCGAAAGCGUGGGGAGCAAACGGG
rnacentral:rRNA from 1 species